rnacentral:rRNA from 1 species
GAACGCUAGCGGCAGGCUCUAAUACAUGCAAGUCGAACGGGAUCCAAUUUUUAGCUUGCUAAAGAUUGGUGAGAGUGGCGCACGGGUGCGUAACGCGUGAGCAACCUACCCAUAUCAGGGGGAUAGCCCGAAGAAAUUCGGAUUAACACCGCAUAAGACUACGAGAUGGCAUCAUCAAGUAGUUAAAUAUUUAUAGGAUAUGGAUGGGCUCGCGUGACAUUAGCUAGUUGGUGAGGUAACGGCUCACCAAGGCGACGAUGUCUAGGGGCUCUGAGAGGAGAAUCCCCCACACUGGUACUGAGACACGGACCAGACUCCUACGGGAGGCAGCAGUAAGGAAUAUUGGUCAAUGGACGGAAGUCUGAACCAGCCAUGCCGCGUGCAGGAUGACUGCCCUAUGGGUUGUAAACUGCUUUUGUCGAGGAAUAAACCUAUCUACGUGUAGAUAGCUGAAUGUACUCGAAGAAUAAGGAUCGGCUAACUCCGUGCCAGCAGCCGCGGUAAUACGGAGGAUCCGAGCGUUAUCCGGAUUUAUUGGGUUUAAAGGGUGCGUAGGCGGCACUUUAAGUCAGGGGUGAAAGACGGCAGCUUAACUGUCGCAGUGCCUUUGAUACUGAAGUGCUUGAAUGCGGUUGAAGACGGCGGAAUGAGACAAGUAGCGGUGAAAUGCAUAGAUAUGUCUCAGAACACCGAUUGCGAAGGCAGCUGUCUAAGCCGUUAUUGACGCUGAUGCACGAAAGCGUGGGGAUCGAACAGGAUUAGAUACCCUGGUAGUCCACGCCCUAAACGAUGAUAACUCGAUGUUUGCGAUAUACCGUAAGCGUCCAAGCGAAAGCGUUAAGUUAUCCACCUGGGGAGUACGCCCGCAAGGGG